rnacentral:misc_RNA from 1 species
GUAGGUUUCGUGGAACCCGUAUUGUGGCUCCGCCCCUUAUACUUUUAGUUUUUUGGAUAACUGAGAAAUCCUGAGGGUCAGUUGGCACGUGUUUUGAAAUACAUCGGAUAUUGUGUCUGCUCCUCAAGGGCGGAUGGAGAGGAUGAUAAGUCAUGGCUUCAUUGGAGUCCAAGCUCGGUAUGUGAUAAAAGUUCACUAGUUUAGUACAAAUUGAUUUCAAACCCGAUAAAUUGAAUGAGUUGUGAGAGAAUCCCGAACUCGAACCCAUAAAGUUUAAAUCUUGGAUCAACCUUUGUGCCAAGGGCGAUGGAGAGUGCAACUUGUGACUUUAUUGGGACCCAAUAGCUUUGGCUCGGAUAUGUGAUAAAAACUCAAUAAAUAAGUACAAAUUGAUUUCAUACCCUGUAAAUUGAAUGUGUUGUGAUAGAAUCCCGAACUUGAGCCCAUAAAGUUCAAGUCUUGGAUCAACCUCUGUGCCAAGUGCCAUGGAGAGUGCAACUUAUGGCUUUAUUGGACCCAAUAGCGUUGUCUCGGAUAUGUGAUAAGAAUCACUAAACAAGUUCAAGUUGAUUUCAA